rnacentral:lncRNA from 1 species
AUGAUAUUAUCCAUAGAGGUACUCUCAAGCUUAAGAAGUUAUUUAAUCUCAAACAUUGGAAAUUUUGACAGUUUUUGGUGUAAAGGCCAUAUUCACAUAUCCAUGGAAUGGAAUGACUUCAGAAUGCCAGAAGUUGUACUCAUGUGUAAAUGUCCCCAGGGAAUGUUUAGAAAUUAUACAAGCAAGGUUCAGGAUACUCAGUAUUCUUUGCACUUGAAGAUAAAUGAUCAUGUAUAUAGAUAUGUAAUGGUUUUAUGUAACACAUUUGUCAGAUAUUUCUGUGAGAGGAGGAAUUGUUUUUACUUUUGCUUCUGA